rnacentral:lncRNA from 1 species
UAUAAUCAAUCAAAUGAAUGGAAUUAACUAGAGCACUGGAGUGCUCUAACUCAAUCCAAAACAAGACCACAAAAUUAAAAGGCAACGAACAAAGAAAAGUAAAAAUAUUACAUAACACAAUCAACGGAAGCAAUGAAGAAAUCUUGGAAGUUAUAAAUAGAUAUCCAGGCCUUCAGAUUAGAUAUACUGGUAGUAAUAUCAGGAACAACAUUAGGUAAUAUCUUCUCAAGAUUCCACACCAACAAUCCUCAAUCCAAUCUCCAA